UUUAGCGUGAGGUGGAAAACCCGGGAAAUGUCAUUAUCAUUUCCGGGUGUGAAGAAAAAAGAUCGCCACAAGUGCGAAGUGUAGCGCGGCAGUGUUUUACGGGAAUAAUCCGAGAAAACCCGUAGAGGAUACGACAGUUCCUCAGCCAGAAAAUAAAAAUAAAAAGCUCCGACAAGCGCCUACCAGCCACGCGGCACGUGCUCGAGGAAGAAGAUUAGAGGGCAGAGCCCCACUGGAAGGUGUUCUCCCGCCCACCUAAAAGGGUGAAUUGGCGCGAGAGGGAAGCGUAAAGCUUCGGAAAAGCAAAAAGAACAAGAGGGUCGCUCAGGCGGCCUUCUUUUUUCCAAUUAAAUUGUCAGCACCUUUGGCUCGGGGAAGAAAUUUCCAUCGAUUCCCGCAACUAUCGCCGGAGGAAAGGUGGCAUUUAGCCAUUCAGCAUCACCGGAACUCUCGGCCACAACUGCUUGCCUCGCCUCGGCCACAACUGCUUGCCUCGCCUCGGCCACAACGUGCUCGCGCUGGCAACUUCAAAGGUGGCAAUUAGCCAUUUAACAUCACCGGGAGUCUCGGCUACAACUGCCUGCCUUCUCUCGGCUAGAACGCACUCGCGGGGCAACAUCAAAGGUGGUUUUGAGCCACACAACAUCCUCGUCGAGACACUUUGUUUCUAAGGCUCCCGUAGGCGUAGCAUCUAUUGUGGCAAUUAGCCAUUCGACUUCACCGACAGUCUCAACUGCACCUUUCGGCUGCACCUGCAGCGGUGCAAUCAACUGUGGCAUCUGGCCACUUAUUGUCAUCUGCAGCUUCGACUGCACUUUACGGCUGCACCUGCGAUCCUGGAAUCAACUGUGGCAUUUGGCCACUCAUCUUCAUCAACAGUCUCGUCUGCACCCUUCGGCUGCACCUGCAGUGCUGCAAUCAACUGUGGCAUUUGGCCAAUCAGCAUCAUCGGCAGCUUCGACUACACUUCCGACUGUACCUGUGUUCGUCGAAUCAACUGUGGCCUUGGGCCAUCUACUAUCACCGGCAGUUGCGACUGCAUUUUUUCGGCUGCACCUGCAGUAGUUUAAUCAACUGUGGCAUUUGACCACGUAUCAUCAUCGGCAGUUGCGACUGCACUUUCCGAUUGCAUCGGUGGUCGUCGAAUCAACUGUGGCAUUGGGCCACGUAUCAUCAUCGGCAGUUUCGACUGCAAUCUUCGACUGCACCUGCCACCAUCGAAUCAACUGUGGCAUUGGGCCAUUCAUCAUCAACUACUCGUCACUACUCGACUGCAUCUGUGGUCGACGUACCAGCGGAGGCAUCGGUAAAUUCGUUUGGGGCAUGAUGCCGGAGGCGGCGAGAGGAGGUUUGCCCACACCAAGGCGGAGGAGAAAAAGCUUCGUGGCCACUCAGUGCGCUGCAGCGCCUUCAUGGAGGAUGCCGUAAGUGUGAUAGAAUCUGAAUGAAAAUGCUAUGGGGGAAAUGUGGGUG